rnacentral:rRNA from 1 species
CUGCCUUUAAGACGAGGAUAACAAGUGGAAACAUUUGCUAAGACUGGAUAGGAAAUAGAAGGAUAACCUUUUAUUUUUAAAAGACCUUCUUCGGAAGGUAUGCUUAAAGAAGGGCUUGCGCCACAUUAGUUAGUUGGUAGGGUAAAAGCCUACCAAGACUAUGAUGUGUAGCUGGACUGAGAGGUUGAACAGCCACAUUGGGACUGAGACACGGCCCAAACUCCUACGGGAGGCAGCAGUAGGGAAUUUUCGGCAAUGGAGGAAACUCUGACCGAGCAACGCCGCGUGAACGAAGAAGUAUUUAGGUAUGUAAAGUUCUUUUAUUGAAGAAGAAAAAAUAGUGGAAAAACUAUCUUGACGCUAUUCAAUGAAUAAGCCCCGGCUAACUAUGUGCCAGCAGCCGCGGUAAGACAUAGGGGGCGAGCGUUAUCCGGAAUUAUUGGGCGUAAAGGGUGCGUAGGCGGUUAGAUAAGUCUAUAAUUUAAUUUCAGUGCUUAACGCUGUUCUGUUAUAGAAACUGUCUAGCUAGAGUGAGAUAGAGGCAAGUGGAAUUCCAUGUGUAGCGGUAAAAUGUGUAAAUAUAUGGAGGAACACCAGAAGCGUAGGCGGCUUGCUGGGUCUUUACUGACGCUGAGGCACGAAAGCGUGGGUAGCAAACAGGAUUAGAUACCCUGGUAGUCCACGCCGUAAACGAUGAGUACUAAGUGUCGGGGUUAAACUCGGUACUGAAGUUAACACAUUAAGUACUCCGCCUGAGUAGUACGUACGCAAGUAUGAAACUUAAAGGAAUUGACGGGACUCCGCACAAGCGGUGGAUCAUGUUGUUUAAUUCGAAGAUACACGAAAAACCUUACCAGGUCUUGACAUACUCUGCAAAGCUAUAGAAAUAUAGUGGAGGUUAUCAGGGAUACAGGUGGUGCAUGGUUGUCGUCAGCUCGUGUCGUGAGAUGUUAGGUUAAGUCCUAAAACGAGCGCAACCCUUGUCGUUAAUUGCCAGCACGUUAUGGUGGGGACUUUAGCGAGACUGCCAAUUAAAAAUUGGAGGAAGGUGAGGAUUACGUCAAAUCAUCAUGCCCCUUAUGAUCUGGGCUACAAACGUGAUACAAUGGCUGUUACAAAGAGUAGCUGAAAUGCGAGUUUUUAGCCAAUCUCAAAAAAGCAGUCUCAGUUCGGAUUGAAGUCUGCAACUCGACUUCAUGAAGUUGGAAUCGCUAGUAAUCGCGAAUCAGCAUGUCGCGGUGAAUACGUUCUCGGGGUUUGUACACACCGCCCGUCAAACCACGAAAGUUGAUAAUAC